CAGUCGCCGCGGUAAUACGUAGGUGGCAAGCGUUGUCCGGAAUUAUUGGGCGUAAAGGGCUCGCAGGCGGUUUCUUAAGUCUGAUGUGAAAGCCCCCGGCUCAACCGGGGAGGGUCAUUGGAAACUGGGAAACUUGAGUGCAGAAGAGGAGAGUGGAAUUCCACGUGUAGCGGUGAAAUGCGUGGAGAUGUGGAGGAACACCAGUGGCGAAGGCGACUCUCUGGUCUGUAACUGACGCUGAGGAGCGAAAGCGUGGGGAGCGAACAGGAUUAGAUACCCGAGUAGUCCCUGUCUCUUAUAC
rnacentral:rRNA from 1 species